GCGGGCGUAGCAAUACGUCAGCGGCAGACGGGUGAGUAACGCGUGGGAACGUACCUUUUGGUUCGGAACAACACAGGGAAACUUGUGCUAAUACCGGAUAAGCCCUUACGGGGAAAGAUUUAUCGCCGAAAGAUCGGCCCGCGUCUGAUUAGCUAGUUGGUGAGGUAACGGCUCACCAAGGCGACGAUCAGUAGCUGGUCUGAGAGGAUGAUCAGCCACAUUGGGACUGAGACACGGCCCAAACUCCUACGGGAGGCGGCAGUGGGGAAUAUUGGACAAUGGGCGCAAGCCUGAUCCAGCCAUGCCGCGUGAGUGAUGAAGGCCCUAGGG
rnacentral:rRNA from 1 species